rnacentral:rRNA from 1 species
UACAGAGGGGGCAAGCGUUAUUUGGAAUUAUUGGGCGUAAAGGGCGCGUAGGCGGCCUGGCAAGUGGAAGGUGAAAUCCCUCGGCUUAACCGAGGAACUGCCGUCCAAACUGCUUCGCUUGAGACCGGGAGAGGUGAGUGGAAUUCCCAGUGUAGCGGUGAAAUGCGUAGAUAUUGGGAGGAACACCAGUGGCGAAGGCGGCUCACUGGACCGGUACUGACGCUGAUGCGCGAAAGCGCGGGGAGCAAACAGG